rnacentral:rRNA from 1 species
CGGGUAACGGGGAAUUAGGGUUCGAUUCCGGAGAGGGAGCCUGAGAAACGGCUACCACAUCCAAGGAAGGCAGCAGGCGCGCAAAUUACCCAAUCCCGACACGGGGAGGUAGUGACAAUAAAUAACAAUACAGGGCCUUUCAGGUCUUGUAAUUGGAAUGAGUACAAUUUAAAUCUCUUAACGAGGAACAAUUGGAGGGCAAGUCUGGUGCCAGCAGCCGCGGUAAUUCCAGCUCCAAUAGCGUAUAUUAAAGUUGUUGCAGUUAAAAAGCUCGUAGUUGAAUUUUAGGCCUGGCCGGGCGGUCCGUCUUUGGCGAGUACUGUUCUGCGUCGGGUCCACCUUCUGGUGAACCAGUAUGUCCUUUAUUGGGUGUGCCGGGGAGCCAGGACCAUUACCUUGAAAAAAUUAGAGUGUUUAAAGCAGGCAUUUGCUUGAAUAGAUUAGCAUGGAAUAAUAGAAUAGGACGUUGUGGUUCUAUUUUGUUGGUUUCUAGGACCACCGUAAUGAUUAAUAGGGAUAGUUGGGGGCAUUAGUAUUCAAUUGUCAGAGGUGGAAUUCUUGGAUUUAUUGAAGACUAACUAUUGCGAAAGCAUUUGCCAAGGAUGUUUUCAUUAAUCAAGAACGAAAGUUAGGGGAUCGAAGACGAUCAGAUACCGUCGUAGUCUUAACCAUAAACUAUGCCGACUAGGAAUCGGGCGACGUUAUUUUCAUGACUCGCUCGGCGCCUUAUGG